GAAAAGCCUGGUCAGUUUGACAUAUGGAGCUCAAUCUUAUCGCAGAAAGCACAUGAGGACAACAAAAAUCUUCCACCUCCUUAUAUUCACCCUCUCGUUAAAAGAUCAGCAAGUUCUUUGAGCGAGAAGAGCCUUGAAAUUUGUACUGAAAGUCUCGGAUCGGAGACUGGCUCUGAUGGGUUCUCUUCAUACCCUCCUUCGGAGACUGGUGACGCAGAGGAGGAGAAAGAAGAAGAACAAGAAGAGAAUAGGCUGGCCCAAAAAUAUGAGGAUAUGGAUGAUUGGCGCGUAUCCAAGUACAAUCUUGCAGCAGCUAGCAAGAAAUUGCCACAAAGAUCAUUCCCUCCGCCACUUCCGUCACUAUCUAAGCGUGAUGGAGCGUCCCUGCACAUGAGGCCUCGGCGUGAUAAUGGCCGCUUAGUUCUUGAAGCUGUCUCUGUUCCUUCACAGAACAACUUCAGAGCUGAACGCCAGGACGAUCGCCUUGUCCUCACUUUUAUCAAUAGUCCUAAUGAAGAAGAAGGACCAAA
rnacentral:misc_RNA from 1 species